rnacentral:rRNA from 1 species
GAUGAACGCUGGCGGCGUGCCUAAUACAUGCAAGUCGAGCGAACAGACGAGGAGCUUGCUCCUCUGACGUUAGCGGCGGACGGGUGAGUAACACGUGGAUAACCUACCUAUAAGACUGGGAUAACUUCGGGAAACCGGAGCUAAUACCGGAUAAUAUAUUGAACCGCAUGGUUCAAUAGUGAAAGACGGUUUUGCUGUCACUUAUAGAUGGAUCCGCGCCGCAUUAGCUAGUUGGUAAGGUAACGGCUUACCAAGGCAACGAUGCGUAGCCGACCUGAGAGGGUGGUCGGACACACUGGAACUGAGACACGGUCCAGACGCCGACGGGAGGCAGCAGUAGGGAAUCUUCCGCGAUGGGCGAAAGCCUGACGGAGCAACGCCGCGUGAGUGAUGAAGGUCUUCGGAUCGUAAAACUCUGUUAGUAGGGAAGAACAAAUGUGUAAGUAACUAUGCACGUCUUGACGGUACCGAAUCAGAAAGCCACGGCUAACUACGUG